rnacentral:rRNA from 1 species
GGGUUGUGAGGUUAAGCGACUAAGCGUACACGGUGGAUGCCCUGGCAGUCAGAGGCGAUGAAGGGCGUGCUAAUCUGCGAUAAGCGCCGGUAAGGUGAUAUGAACCGUUAUAACCGGCGAUACCCGAAUGGGGAAACCCAGUGUGACUCGUCACACUAUCAUUAACUGAAUCCAUAGGUUAAUGAGGCGAACCGGGGGAACUGAAACAUCUAAGUACCCCGAGGAAAAGAAAUCAACCGAGAUUCCCCCAGUAGCGGCGAGCGAACGGGGAGGAGCCCAGAGCCUGAAUCAGCAUGUGUGUUAGUGGAAGCGUCUGGAAAGGCGCGCGAUACAGGGUGACAGCCCCGUACACAAAAGCGCAUGUGCUGUGAGCUCGAUGAGUAGGGCGGGACACGUGGUAUCCUGUCUGAAUAUGGGGGGACCAUCCUCCAAGGCUAAAUACUCCUGACUGACCGAUAGUGAACCAGUACCGUGAGGGAAAGGCGAAAAGAACCCCGGCGAGGGGAGUGAAAAAGAACCUGAAACCGUGUACGUACAAGCAGUGGGAGCACACGUUUACCUGUGUGACUGCGUACCUUUUGUAUAAUGGGUCAGCGACUUAUAUUCUGUAGCAAGGUUAACCGAAUAGGGGAGCCGGAGGGAAACCGAGUCUUAAUUGGGCGUUAAGUUGCAGGGUAUAGACCCGAAACCCGGUGAUCUAGCCAUGGGCAGGUUGAAGGUUGGGUAACACUAACUGGAGGACCGAACCGACUAAUGUUGAAAAAUUAGCGGAUGACCUGUGGCUGGGGGUGAAAGGCCAAUCAAACCGGGAGAUAGCUGGUUCUCCCCGAAAGCUAUUUAGGUAGCGCCUCGUGAAUUCAUCUCCGGGGGUAGAGCACUGUUUCGGCUAGGGGGCCAUCCCGGCUUACCAACCCGAUGCAAACUGCGAAUACCGGAGAAUGUUAUCACGGGAGACACACGGCGGGUGCUAACGUCCGUCGUGAAGAGGGAAACAACCCAGACCGCCAGCUAAGGUCCCAAAGUCAUGGUUAAGUGGGAAACGAUGUGGGAAGGCCCAGACAGCCAGGAUGUUGGCUUAGAAGCAGCCAUCAUUUAAAGAAAGCGUAAUAGCUCACUGGUCGAGUCGGCCUGCGCGGAAGAUGUAACGGGGCUAAACCAUGCACCGAAGCUGCGGCAGCGACACUGUGUGUUGUUGGGUAGGGGAGCGUUCUGUAAGCCUGCGAAGGUGGCCUGUGAGGGUUGCUGGAGGUAUCAGAAGUGCGAAUGCUGACAUAAGUAACGAUAAAGCGGGUGAAAAGCCCGCUCGCCGGAAGACCAAGGGUUCCUGUCCAACGUUAAUCGGGGCAGGGUGAGUCGACCCCUAAGGCGAGGCCGAAAGGCGUAGUCGAUGGGAAACGGGUUAAUAUUCCCGUACUUGGUGUUACUGCGAAGGGGGGACGGAGAAGGCUAUGUUGGCCGGGCGACGGUUGUCCCGGUUUAAGCGUGUAGGCUGGUUUUCCAGGCAAAUCCGGAAAAUCAAGGCUGAGGCGUGAUGACGAGGCACUACGGUGCUGAAGCAACAAAUGCCCUGCUUCCAGGAAAAGCCUCUAAGCAUCAGGUAACAUCAAAUCGUACCCCAAACCGACACAGGUGGUCAGGUAGAGAAUACCAAGGCGCUUGAGAGAACUCGGGUGAAGGAACUAGGCAAAAUGGUGCCGUAACUUCGGGAGAAGGCACGCUGACACGUAGGUGAAGUGAUUUACUCAUGGAGCUGAAGUCAGUCGAAGAUACCAGCUGGCUGCAACUGUUUAUUAAAAACACAGCACUGUGCAAACACGAAAGUGGACGUAUACGGUGUGACGCCUGCCCGGUGCCGGAAGGUUAAUUGAUGGGGUCAGCGCAAGCGAAGCUCCUGAUCGAAGCCCCGGUAAACGGCGGCCGUAACUAUAACGGUCCUAAGGUAGCGAAAUUCCUUGUCGGGUAAGUUCCGACCUGCACGAAUGGCGUAAUGAUGGCCAGGCUGUCUCCACCCGAGACUCAGUGAAAUUGAACUCGCUGUGAAGAUGCAGUGUACCCGCGGCAAGACGGAAAGACCCCGUGAACCUUUACUAUAGCUUGACACUGAACAUUGAGCCUUGAUGUGUAGGAUAGGUGGGAGGCUUUGAAGUGUGGACGCCAGUCUGCAUGGAGCCGACCUUGAAAUACCACCCUUUAAUGUUUGAUGUUCUAACGUGGACCCGUUACCCGGGUUGCGGACAGUGUCUGGUGGGUAGUUUGACUGGGGCGGUCUCCUCCUAAAGAGUAACGGAGGAGCACGAAGGUUGGCUAAUCCUGGUCGGACAUCAGGAGGUUAGUGCAAUGGCAUAAGCCAGCUUGACUGCGAGCGUGACGGCGCGAGCAGGUGCGAAAGCAGGUCAUAGUGAUCCGGUGGUUCUGAAUGGAAGGGCCAUCGCUCAACGGAUAAAAGGUACUCCGGGGAUAACAGGCUGAUACCGCCCAAGAGUUCAUAUCGACGGCGGUGUUUGGCACCUCGAUGUCGGCUCAUCACAUCCUGGGGCUGAAGUAGGUCCCAAGGGUAUGGCUGUUCGCCAUUUAAAGUGGUACGCGAGCUGGGUUUAGAACGUCGUGAGACAGUUCGGUCCCUAUCUGCCGUGGGCGCUGGAGAACUGAGGGGGGCUGCUCCUAGUACGAGAGGACCGGAGUGGACGCAUCACUGGUGUUCGGGUUGUCAUGCCAAUGGCACUGCCCGGUAGCUAAAUGCGGAAGAGAUAAGUGCUGAAAGCAUCUAAGCACGAAACUUGCCCCGAGAUGAGUUCUCCCUGAGACUUAAAGUCUCCUGAAGGAACGUUGAAGACGACGACGUUGAUAGGCCGGGUGUGUAAGCGCAGCGAUGCGUUGAGCUAACCGGUACUAAUGAACCGUGAGGCUUAACCUUACAACGCCGAAG